GUCAAUAGCCAGCAUCUAGCUCUCUGCAACUCUCAUAUGGUCACCCAUUGAAGCUAUACAGGGCUGCGCCCGGUCAGUACCUGGAUGGGAGACCACAUGGGAAAGCUAGGUUGCUCCUGAAA
ensembl:rRNA 5S_rRNA 5S ribosomal RNA